rnacentral:rRNA from 1 species
CUUUCUUUGCUGGCGACCGGCGCACGGGUGAGUAACACGUAUCCAACCUGCCCUUUACUCGGGGGUAGCCUUUCGAAAGAAAGAUUAAUACCCGAUAGCAUAAUGAUUCCGCAUGGUUUCAUUAUUAAAGGAUUCCGGUAAAGGAUGGGGAUGCGUUCCAUUAGGUUGUUGGUGAGGUAACGGCUCACCAAGCCUUCGAUGGAUAGGGGUUCUGAGAGGAAGGUCCCCCACAUUGGAACUGAGACACGGUCCAA